rnacentral:ncRNA from 1 species
AAAAUACUCAGGAGAGUCUCUUUCAACUGGUGAUUUGAAAGAGCGCCGAAGGUGUAAGCGGCAUCAGACCGCGAGUCUCUCAGGCAAAAGGAUGGAGGAAUAA